rnacentral:lncRNA from 1 species
AGGAGCCACACACUAAUUCUUUCUUUCUAGACAGAAAUAUGAAGUCAUCCAUGUCUGUAAUACUUGUGGUGGGUCAACUCUUCUUCUAGAAUGAGGUUGUGGAAUGUCAGGUUUCCAGGCCUGAGAACUGGCACACAACACUUUGCUUCUUUCUAGGUUGAUGCAAAGGCUUGGGUAGCAAACCUGAAUUAGAAGGCUCAAGUAAAUAGUGACCUCUUUGUUUCAUCAAAGCUUGUCUCCAACACCAAUGCAGAAGAAUGAUAAAAACACCAUGAUCUCCAGAUGGGCAAGUACCAGCUUCCAUGAGGAGGAAGUCUUUGGUUGGUUGGAGUCUCGCCAAAAUUCCUGCCAAAGGCUCUUCAAGUUGGGCAUCUUCUCUCACUAGGUAAAAAGAAGGAUCCAGGUUUCAUACAUGGCAUUUUCUACCUGUAAUGUACCACAGGUUUCACUGGCUUAAUAAGAUAGUUAGUAUGCACUCUAGUCUUUAAAAUUUCAGAGAGCAGGAACCAUUAAAGCAUAUUACUUUUAUCAACCCAAAUCGUUGGGUUGCAAAUCAAAUGCAGG